GACGAACCGUGCAAACGUUGUUCGGAAUCACUGGGCUUAAAGGGCGCGUAGGCGGCUUGCCAAGUCAGGGGUGAAAUCUUUCGGCUUAACCGGAAAAGUGCCUCUGAUACUGGCGAGCUAGAGGGAGGUAGGGGCAUGUGGAACUUCCGGUGGAGCGGUGAAAUUCGUAGAUAUCAGGAGGAACACCGGUGGCGAAGGCGGCCAUCUGGACGACAACUGACGCUGAGGCGCGAAAGCGUGGGGAUCAAACAGG
rnacentral:rRNA from 1 species